GAGUUUCGUGUCAGAUUUAGAUUUUAUUAAAAAGGAAUGGAAGGUGGUCAAAAUGAGAUGCAGUUGGGGAACCAAAAAAGAAGGUUUAAUUCAAAAUAGUGGUAUGACACCAGAUCACUGUUAUCCACUACCAGUCAUUGUUUUAAGCUCAUCAGGUAACAUCGUGCAAAUUUUGGUUGCAAUCAUCAGCCAAGACGUUGGAAUACUGUUCUGGAUGACCAGAGUCCUUUCAGGAGGGCAUGAGAUUGGAUAGCGAUAGCUGCGGGGCCCGAAGGAAACCAAGCGGUCCUUAACUCUGCAAUGGACACCUACACCUGGUAUUUUAGAAGCCUUCAAUAAUUAAGUCCUCGCAGGUUAACAGAAGGUAGAUAACUUAUCUCCAAAGCACGCUACAUGCAGGGUAUGAGUGGAUGACUUAUCAAAGAUAUUCAAUGCCAUAAAUACUUAGAGCAGUAACAAACCGAGGAUGAUGAACAUAAAGGGGAACCUUUAAGAUAAUUAAUUAGAGACGAGAUAUACGCGUUCACAAGGUUGUUGCAUUUGGUAUGCACCCCCAUUAUCCACAGAAGCACUUCUAUUUCACUCGCUGCAUAUUACCUGGAAUGUUAGACCCAAAACGGCGCAUGGAAAGUCACCUACAAACUACCAAACAGUGAAAAGGAAUCCAUAAGCUAACAGUCAGUUGAUUAGAAUAGAAUUGGCAACGCAAAAGACACCCAUGCAUCGAAAUUCUAAUCACUGCCUCAGAACCAGGAUCACCACAAGACCACCAUUCAAUCAAUGAGCAGUGCUGAUUAUUCUUUCUAGAAAUAUCAACUGCAGUGUUUUUAAAAAGCCGGUCCGGG
rnacentral:lncRNA from 1 species